UACGAAGGUGGCAAGCGUUGUUCGGAUUUACUGGGCGUACAGGGCGCGUAGGCGGUUGGAUAAGCCCUCCGUGAAAUCUCCAGGCUUAACCUGGAAAGUGCAGAGGGGACUGUUCAGCUAGAGGAUGGGAGAGGAGCGCGGAAUUCCCGGUGUAGCGGUGAAAUGCGUAGAUAUCAGGAGGAACACCAGUGGCGAAGGCGGUGCUCUGGGCCGGAACUGACGCUGAGGAGCGAAAGCGUGGGGAGCAAACAGG
rnacentral:rRNA from 1 species